AUGUCUCCUACUCAUGCAAGUAAAGCUGGUAAACCUACAUCCUCAACACCUGUUACAUCAAAAUUGGUGUCCAGCAAGGUUUCAGAAACUUCAAACAUUUCCAGAAAACUUGCUGAGAGCCCGUCUGCUUCGAAAAUACCAGGAUCCGUACAGUUGGCAAGGAAACUGCCUACACCCCCACCUGUAACUAAAGCCUCUUCAGCCCUUUCAGCUCAGCCAACUUCUGUUAGGAGUUUACCCUCAACGCCCUCUCCUGGAACUGUGGCUGGACCUACGAUUUCCCCGCAGAGACCCCAGCUUGCAAGGCAGCUAUCUCAGGCGGACAAACCCAGAGUAUUAUCGGAAGCGAAUAAGACCACAGUCACAGAGACAUGUGACUUUGGUAUAGUCAGCCGUCCCUUAUCAAUGGACAAAACACCCCCCCUGUCUCCAAAGCAGACACAAGAUCCACCUAAGGAAUUUACUCCUAAGUUACAUAUACUGAAUGAGAGCCCAAGUAAUGAAGCCCAUCUUUACAAAAGAAAUCAUAACUUUGGCACUCCUAUUGAACGUCAGAUACGCAAUAAAGCCUUAGAUUUUUCUUCCACAAUUAAUGUAAUCAAAAAUACCAAAGAAAACGAAGUGACCAAUGCCAACCUAGAUUCCACACAAAAAGACCAAGUUGUUGACUUUACAAGAUACAAGUUGAAAAAAUCCAAAGAAAAAAAGGAAAUGGAUGCUAACACAACUGUGAACUUGACUGACAAGAUCAACGCUGUAGAUCUUACGAAACAAAUUGAGGAGGAAGAAGAGGAAUGUCCUGACAUAGAAUAUCCCACUUUGGGAGCUCUACAGCAAAGAUUUUCAAUUCAGAGAACCGUUUCUCAGACCAACUACAGGCCUGUUGUCCAACAAAACAAAUCAGAAAGACAAUUGUCCUGUCCAGAGGUUCGAGUUGCUAAUAUCUCUUCUACAAUGCAUAUGGAUAGACCCCUAGCCUCCCACAGUGCCUCUACAACUGACUCCAACCAAUGUGGUGUUCCAAAACCGUCUAUUCCAUCUUCUCAGAAAUUACCUCGGAGUUCUGACACCAAUGUAAUGUCAUCAACAACGAGAAUUUCUUCAGUUACUCAUAUUUCUAGUGAAGUGUCCGGCAUUGAAGGAGGACUAAAGCCGAUACGCACUGCCCCAUUGGUAAGCCCUGUUUCGAGACAACACCCUCAGGGACAGCUAGUUAGUUCUUCAUUCAAGAUGCAUCAAAAUAUUCCACAACGCCCACCACUAGUUCCAACUGGUUGUAUACAGCAGGUUCCUGUUGACAGUAAGAGGGCAAUUUUUAGACCUCCUUCACGUCAGUCGAGUGGAGACGCCCACCAAUAUCAGGGUAACACUGCACCAGCAAACUCCGUUAAAGCAACGCUAGAUAUGUCUAAGACAAUAAGCCAGCAGACUCGGCAAGCUGUUGUACGAUCGAAGGAUCCUGCCCCGGUGGCGCUGUCAUUGACAAAGAGAAAAACAACUUCAGAGGAGACAAAAACAAGUUAUAGUGCUCAUGAAUCCAUUGACUUGUCAAAUAGAGGGGAAUCCCCAGAGCGUCAGGGACUAACAACAGAUAAUAAGCAUAAUUCAUCAGCUGUUGUAUAUCAAUCUCAUACUACUACAGGUGUUACAGAAAAAGAGAUUCCAUCUGGUAGUAGGAGGUCAUUCUUACCCAGACAGCAAUCUCUCUUAGGUCAGUCUUCUGAAUCCCUUGAAAUGUGGAGACCACCCCAGGAAGCCACAGCACCAGCCAAUUCAGUUAAGGCCACUCUAGACAUGACUUCUAAGUCUUCUGCCAAUUUGAAGGGGUUGGUUCUUGAAGUACGAUCAGAUGACACUCUAACUGAAGCUCUACCACUAACAAGAGGCAAGCCAAGUGCCCGUGAACUUGCACGCAAAGACUCGGUUGGUGUACCACUAGUUGUAGAUAUUCCUUCUCAACAAUUUCCUGGUGACAUUAAGAUCAGCUCCCUUACAAAUGCACACCAGGAAUUCAAAAACAGGACACAAUGCAACACAGAUUCUAUUAAAUAUCAACAACAAUAUUGCCACAGCAAACCUAAUUCCUUUAUGCAGUCAAAUCACUCAUUUCUGCAGUCUUCAGAAUCUGUUUCAACACAUCAAACAUUGACUUCAACAAAACCGUUAACCGAUGCAGCACUGGAUAUGUCCCCCAACCUGUCACAAGCCAUACUGAGGACAACAAUAUCAGAAUAUGAAUCAACUCAAAGAGAGGCAGUAUCACUUGUUAAUAAGCCAAGCGCAAGGGCAAUUGCCAGAAAGGAUUCAGUUGGUCUCCCUCUUGUAGUUGAACUGACCCCACCUGAGUCAACAUGCCAGAAGCAACCUCAGACAUUGAGCCCUGUGCAAAAACAGCAAACCCUUGAUAGAAACAUGGUCCCUAUCAUGCAUCAACCCCUUCUCAACUGUAUGACAAUGAAGUGCCCCAGCGCACAUGAGACUAAUGGUGUUAAGUCAAAUCUAUCAAAUGUACAGUUUUCAGACACUUCUCAAACACAUCAGACUUUGACAAAACCUGUCACAACUGCAGCACUGGAUAUGUCACCCAAACCAUCCCAUGUUACACUGCAAACGUCAAUGCCAGAAUCUGAGUCUACUCAAAUCGAAGCAAUUUCCCUUGUUAAUAAGCCAAGUGCAAGAGCGGUUGCCAGAAAGGAUUCUGUUGGUAUUCCCCUCGUAGUUGAAACAACACCACUGGAAUCAACAUGCCAAAGACAACUUCAAACCUUUAUCGAUGCACCGAAACAUCAAACCCUUGACAGAGAAAUUUGUCCUGUUCUGCAUCAACCAGUUCCCAGCUGUUCCGGUAUUAGUGAAGCCAAUGGUGUGUCACAUAUCACUAUCCAACCUCAACCACUCCCUACAGCUCCAGCCAACUCUGUUAAAGGCACAAUCGAUAUGUCAACAAAGGCAUGUAUAUCUGAUACAGUGGUCAACUAUUCAGAUCCAGUGUCACUGGUAAGGACGAGGCUUUCAGGCUUUGCACAUUCUCAAAGAGAUUCUGCGGGUGUCCCAUUAAUUGUGGAAACACGCCCCUCCCAGGAGCAACCUAAAAGGCAACAAACACAAGUAGGAUCGCAAGAACAGAUGCAACAGCAAUUUGUGCACACUGGAUCUCGAGAAACAGAUCAAAGAUCAUCAGCACCUGCCAACUCCAUCAAAAGCUUCCUAGAUAUGUCUCCGAAAUUACCGCAAAGACCAUCGGAAACAGGUACAAAUACCAUGCCAACUGAAACUGUACCAUAUGUCAGAAACAUGACAACGGUACCAAAGAAUUAUUGUGUUGGUGUACCGCUCAUCAUGGAACAAUCUGCAUACCACCAAGGAAUGCAUAUAUUGAGUGGAGUUAACACAACAGAGACACCACAUUGGCAGAUUUCCAAUCACAGUUAUGAGGUUGUUUCUGGUUCAAAAACUACCCACAAGGACACAUGCCAACAACAUAGAGCAGUGGACUUCUCUCCAAGAGAUAGCGUGGAUACAACUAACAUUAAAUUGCAACCAUCGAGUACUUUCACUAUUCCAGUGGAUGGACAGCCAAUGAAUUGCACUAAUAACAAAGCAAAUAAAGACGUGUUUGAAAGAAGGCAGACUGGAGGGCAGGAGAAAAAAAUAAUUCUGGGUAUUGUUGACCUAACUGUGGACUCUAUGGUCAAAACCCCAAUUACAGGUCUUGAAGAUGCAGAAGAUCUAUCAUUUUCCUAUAUGUCUUCUCAUUCUCAGAAUGGUGUUUACGAUCAGCAGCAAUACAUUCCUCCACUCACUUCUGUUGAAUAUUCCACUGAAAAACAGGCCUACAUCCAACAGGGCGGACAAUGCAGAAGGCAGCCGGAAAGAGGACUGAAUACUUCAAUUUCCUCCAUAGAGACAAUUCAAAGGAAGAAACAGACUCCUCAGAAUUUUGCUUGCCAGGCUAUGCAGGACCAUACAUCUGCUACAUUCUCAGCAAAAAGUGCGUACUAUCAGGUCACAACUGAUCAACCACAUCAAUUGCCUCCAAAUAUACCUCAGCUACAAACACAACAUUCAGUCCCACAACAGCAUAAUCAACAAUCUGGUUGGACCUCAUCCACUGCUAGAUCCCAGGCAAAGGUUCCAAAGUUACAAAGACAAGAUACAGCUGUUCAGCAUGAGAUGGCGUUUAGGCCAAAAAUUCUUAUAAAGCAGCCAACAGUGGACAGCUACGGAACCAUUGAAGAAGACCCAUCAAACAUUGAAACAAUCACUAGUAAGGGACAAAUGUUGCCUUCCCUUUCCACCCAGCAACUCGUUGGUAGAUCCCAAACUGUUUCUACUUUAAUUAUUCAGCAAGCACAAGAAAGAAACAGGAAAGAUCCUUCAGUUCAGUCUUUAGACUUUCAGCCAGUACAGGGCAGUGCAGCAACAGACUAUUCUGCAAAGGAAUCCCUUCAUCUCUCAAAACAACCUGAUCCAAGCCAAGGCACUGUCACUGUUCAGCCAUAUCAGAAACCAACUGUUAGUACCGUUACUGUAAUUCAACAUGAAUCAGAGGUUAGUGCGCAACCCACCACCGUACAUGGCCCAAUUCCGGUAAUUCAAGUAAAGAGUAAUCUAAACCAGGGUAUUGGAGCUGAAAUGCAAAGACAGAAAGUAUCUCCAACACCAACCGGGCCCACCUCUGUUAAGGGUUUGGUUUCAUUAUAUAGUCGCUUAGGUUCACAAGCCUCCAUCACUGCAAAAUCGGUUGAUGUGACGCCUCACCACGCUCAGAUUGUGUCAAUACCUGUGGAUGACAAAAUCCAAGUUACUCCAACACAGACACCUGCUAUCAGCCAUGUUACAUUCACUCCUGAUGAGAAAACAGCACCUGUAUUGACUGAAAUUCCGAUCCACUGUCAUGAUGAAGAUAAGAUUUCAGUCGAUUUAAGCCCGAAAAUGCUUGCUUCCUCUGUUUAUCCUCCUUGCACACCAGCAUUUCAUAGUGACCAAGAUGACCCUGCUUUUAAAUUAAAAGAUGAAGAUUACAAUGUGUCAAAAAGGAACUAUCUUUUUCAAUCAAUGGUCUCGUCCUCCGACAAUUUAGCAAUGAAUGCUGAGAGGUCUAUUUCUCAAGACUAUCAGCAUCCAGUGGCAACCCUAAAUGCAAGUCCAGCAGGAGAUUCCCCGGGAAAACAAUUACCUCCUCUUGAAUGUUCACCGGUUAAACCACCAAAUACUAUGACACCUAAAGGCAUUUUAAGUAAAACCCAUUCAAUAGAAUGUUUAGAGACAGUGUCAGAGGUUGCAUCCAAACCAACUACCGAAGACGUCAUCAUAGAUAAUAUGGCUUUAUCUAAAUCAGGCAUGUCACAGCAGCAAUGUCUUAAGGAUACAGGACAAACUACAGACACUGAAUCUGCUCCUGUCAAUACUGGAUUUGGUGAAGUAUCUACCAUAGCCAACACAUCACAGGAGGAAAUCAGCUAUCCAACGUCCAUCUACAUUGGCAUAGAUUACUCAAAAGCACCUUCUGUCGAAACAGAAAUUGACCCAAGUGAGCAGAAACCUUUCAUUAGACUACCCCAUAUUUUUGUCUCAGCAGCAAGUUCACCAGAAGACGAUUCAGUUGAAGAGGACCUUAAUCAAUCCACUCAACCUGAACUGUGUGAAGCCAGUGCUUCUGAAGGUACCAAUGAAAUUGCAGCAUCAUUGCCAGACAGCGAGGAAUCUCUACCUGCGGAUAUUGUUGCACAAUCUGUUAUAACUGUGGAUGAUACGGCUGCAGAAACCUCUAGCACAAAAGCAUUCAAUGAACCUGAGACCUAUUCACCAGAGAUGCUAAGUACCCUGACUACAGGAGAUUAUACCCAUGCAGAUGAAAAUCAGUCCUGCCCUGUUCUUAUCAAGGAAAGCUCAGCUAUAGAAGAUCCCCUAUUAACAGCUGUUGAAGUACAAUCAGAGACAUCUGUGGCUUGUGAGCCGCCACUGGAGAUGACUUCGAAGGACUUAAAAUCUAUAGCUUCAGAGAUAACACCACUUGAAAUAGUUAAAACUCUCACUGAUCUGACCAAUCAGGUAACUGAAAACACAGUUUUAGUGCCGGAGCCAACAAAGUGCUCUAAAACUCUUGAAGAGUUAGCCCACAGUGAUAAGAGCAACACUUCAGAUGUUAUAUUUCCAGAAGAUGUUGAUAUGUUGUCACUGAAAGAAGAACCCUCGGUCUCAAACAUAAAAUCAGCUGAAAGUGUUCAACAGCUUUAUGAAAAAACUGAAAAGGGCGUCACCUUAUCUACCCCUCCACCCAGUCCUGUCAAACCUGUCCCAGAAGAAAUCACAACCUCUAAGGAGGAUAAUUUGGCGGUUAGGACUGAUCCACCCGAGGCAGAACAACCAGUAAAAGGAAUAUUUUCUAUGUUUAGUGGCUCUACUGCAACCCCACAGCAGAGCACCUCCCAAACUGGAUUAUCAAUACUUGGUGGCAUUCUUCCUGCGUCAUCUACCAAAGACAGUCCUGGGACAGGGUUACUCUCAAUGUUGGGUGGGUCAAAUGCCCCAUCUUCGCCUGGAUUCAAAGACCCACCACUUUCAACCCCACAUGAGACCCAGGGAAAAGGCUUAUUCUCUAUGUUUGGUGGAUCGAGUAGCCAACCCCCAUCUGGCCCAAGAGGUCCAACUGGUGGGAGUGUGCGACCUAGAGGUCCUCCACCCAAAGAACCACCAGGCAAAGGCCUGUUUUCCAUGUUUGGUGCAUCGGCUCCUCAGCAACCACCCAGUCCCAGAGCUCGUCCUAUGGAAAGUGCCACACCAAGAACACCUUCCACUGGAUCGUCUAUAUUUGGUGGCAUCCUCCCAGGUUCUACUACAAAUAAAGAAACUCCUGUUGGAGGUUUGUUUUCCAAGUUUGGAGGUCUAGGUGCCCAGUCCCAAACAGGAGCAAAGGUACCCCCACCAGUUACACCACCAGGACCCAGGGGUCCAGAGCCCUCAGGAAAAGGACUAUUCUCUAUGUUUGGUGGACAAAACCUGCAAGCAUCAGAAGACCAUCCAGUCGCUUCUAAACCACCUGAAUCAGAGGGUGGUUUCAAAGUUCCCUCUGUGUUUUCACUUGGUGGUAGUUCUGAUGGUAACAAAUCUAAAACUGGGUUUGGUCUAUUUGGAAUGUCUUUCAUGGAAGAACCAACGACAGAGCCAGAAACAAUUGUGAAGGGGGAGACUGACUCCAAAAAGCUGAAACCCAUGGACACAAAAGAUAUUUCGAAAGUAGCAAAGGACCCCAUUAUUGAGGCCAUGGAAAAUGUACCUUCUCAGCCUCUUUCUACUUCAUUAGAUAAAGUGGAAAUCCAAAUGGAGGAGGCUUACCAAGAUGGUCAAGCUUCAACCUUAGAUACUACUGAAAAUUCUGUUUGCCCAACAGAUCGAGAUCUGGGGGGAGACAAAUUAGCCAUGAUGCAAUCUUCUAAUGCUGAAAAUGGAUUGGUUAUUGUUAAAGCUUCAAAUACUGACACACCGACUUUGACUGGAAAUCUACUAGAGAAAGAGACAUUACCAGCUGUAAAACUAACAAGUGAGGAACAAUCAGACAUCCAGACUGAAUAUAAUAAAAUGAAAGAUACAGCGGAUUCUGAGAAAGAAGUUGAUAAAUCCGGGGCUGGAACUUUGGAAUUCAAAAGCAGGGAGGGGGAGAGUCUCAUCAAAUGCCCUUUAGAAGAUCCCGAUGAUAUGCAAAUGAAAAGUGUUAUGGAUGAUACAAACAAAACUGCAAAUUCCGAUAUGGCUGGAGUAGAACAUCAGAAAGUGGUUGUUGAAGGAACAAUAACAAUUCCAGAGGUAGAAAAACCAACGGAGGAGCAAGUAAAAGUUGCUGGUAAUGAGCAAACCGCUCUUACAGAUUUGGUCAAAUCAAGUGAGGAAUCUUUGAAGGUAGAUGAUGAACAACAAACAGUGGUUACAGAUGUGGAAAGAUCAACUAUGGAACCUUUGAAAGUAGAUGAUGAAGACCAAACAGCGGUCACGGAUGUGGAAAGAUCAACCAAGGAACCUUUGAAAGUAGAUGAUGAAGACCAAACAGCGGUCACGGAUGUGGAAAGAUCANNNNNNNNNNUUUAA
ensembl:lncRNA